CCCGCCACUAUACCAGCCAAUUUCUGUGGCUGAGUAGAGUCCAGUGGAGGCUCAAAGCGACCCAGCUUUAGGAAACAGAGAUGCCCACAUGAAUGGACGUCUCUGUGCCGAAAAGCCUGGAACACGA
ensembl:snoRNA